UCCUACGGGAGGCAGCAGUAGGGAAUCUUCCGCAAUGGACGAAAGUCUGACGGAGCAACGCCGCGUGAACGAUGAAGGCCUUCGGGUCGUAAAGUUCUGUUGUCAGGGAAGAACAAGUACCGGAGUAACUGCCGGUACCUUGACGGUACCUGACCAGAAAGCCACGGCUAACUACGUGCCAGCAGCCGCGGUAAUACGUAGGUGGCAAGCGUUGUCCGGAAUUAUUGGGCGUAAAGCGCGCGCAGGCGGUUCCUUAAGUCUGAUGUGAAAGCCCCCGGCUCAACCGGGGAGGGUCAUUGGAAACUGGGGAACUUGAGUGCAGAAGAGGAGAGCGGAAUUCCACGUGUAGCGGUGAAAUGCGUAGAGAUGUGGAGGAACACCAGUGGCGAAGGCGGCUCUCUGGUCUGUAACUGACGCUGAGGCGCGAAAGCGUGGGGAGCGAACAGGAUUAGAUACCCUGGUAGUCCACGCCGUAAACGAUGAGUGCUAAGUGUUAGAGGGUUUCCGCCUUUUAGUGCUGCAGCAAACGCAUUAA
rnacentral:rRNA from 1 species